CAGAUUGAACCAUUGUUUCUGAUUCCUCACUCGAACUGGCAACCUGCAGGUGUCGGUGAAGGAGGGCUUUCGUAGUUCGUGCAGUUGCUGAAACAAACUGUUUCGAUCCAGUCUCUGAUUCACAGCCAACAAAUCAAGAACCAUGCAAGGUUAUGCUUUGUCCGAUGCAAGGGAGGGCUUGAUGCGGCUCCUGCCGAUUCGAGCCCCUUCUCCAGGUCGUUGCUGCUGCUGCUGCAAUGUUUUAUAUAAUGUGCUGUUUCAAGUCUUUGUCGAAAAUUCUCUCAGGACGGAGACGCCGGUGCUGGAGCUGGCCACAUGAGGUAGCGGUGGUAGCCUUGUUCCUCUGUCUCGGUAGUUUAGGUGAGCAUUACAUUUGUCUUGUCUAAAUGGACAGCGCAGUUGGGCCAUGUAGAGCCACGGCUAAAGUGUGAUCUGGCUAUGGAGCCGUCGAUGACAAAGAUGGUUUCGGUUCAGUUUUGGCAGUUGUGUAGGUCAUGGGAAAUCAAGUUUUGUGGUUCCUUUAACUUGAGCUCCAAAGUGCUCAGCGGAUGUACCUUGCAUUUGUACAUUAUAGAUAAGUGCUCACUGGUGAUGUAUGGGCGAGUCGAUCAAGAAACGACUUUAGAUUGUGUCUGUCUAUAGUUGGGGUGGCCGUGUGGUUUUAGUCACAUGGGUAG